GAGAGUUAAACAGUACGUGAAAUUGUUGAAAGGGAAACGAUUGAAGUCAGUCGUGCUGGCGCGAAAUCAACCCUCUCGUUGAGAGGUCACAUGGCGUGGCGAGCCUCAAAACCGUCACGAAGCGUGAACUCUUGGCGAAAAGGAGCACUUUCGUGUCCGCUGGUUAACAUCAAUUUCGAACGUCAUAAAAAGGCUGGAGGGAUGUGGCUCCUUCGGGAGUGUUAUAACCUUUAGCGGAAUGUGGUGUUCGGGAUUGAGGAUUGCAACGAAUACCUUUAGGGCUGUUCCACCUGGCUUCUCUUUGGUAUCCUGGUGACGACAGCUUGCUGACGUUGUUAGGAUUCGCCUUUGAACAGGCUAGAGUGUGAGCAAAUUCGUUAAGGAUGUUAACGUAAUGGCUUUAAACGA
rnacentral:rRNA from 1 species